GAGAUUUACAAAAAUAGUCGGAUUUCAGUUUAUGGCAAGUACAAUGUAAAAUUCAAGAGCCUUCAACUAACGGACAACAUCUUUCAUAUUGAGUGGCCAAUUUUAGACA